AUAGGGUCAAGUGAAUAAGUGCAUCAGGCGGAUGCCUUGGCGAUGAUAGGCGACGAAGGACGUGUAAGCCUGCGAAAAGCGCGGGGGAGCUGGCAAUAAAGCUAUGAUUCCGCGAUGUCCGAAUGGGGAAACCCACUGCAUUCUGUGCAGUAUCCUAAGUUGAAUACAUAGGCUUAGAGAAGCGAACCCGGAGAACUGAACCAUCUAAGUACCCGGAGGAAAAGAAAUCAACCGAGAUUCCGCAAGUAGUGGCGAGCGAACGCGGAGGAGCCUGUACGUAAUAACUGUCGAGAUAGAAGAACAAGCUGGGAAGCUUGACCAUAGCGGGUGACAGUCCCGUAUUCGAAAUCUCAACAGCGGUACUAAGCGUACGAAAAGUAGGGCGGGACACGUGAAAUCCUGUCUGAAUAUGGGGGGACCAUCCUCCAAGGCUAAAUACUCAUCAUCGACCGAUAGUGAACCAGUACCGUGAGGGAAAGGCGAAAAGAACCCCGGGAGGGGAGUGAAACAGAACCUGAAACCUGAUGCAUACAAACAGUGGGAGCGCCCUAGUGGUGUGACUGCGUACCUUUUGUAUAAUGGGUCAACGACUUACAUUCAGUAGCGAGCUUAACCGGAUAGGGGAGGCGUAGGGAAACCGAGUCUUAAUAGGGCGAUGAGUUGCUGGGUGUAGACCCGAAACCGAGUGAUCUAUCCAUGGCCAGGUUGAAGGUGCCGUAACAGGUACUGGAGGACCGAACCCACGCAUGUUGCAAAAUGCGGGGAUGAGCUGUGGGUAGGGGUGAAAGGCUAAACAAACUCGGAGAUAGCUGGUUCUCCCCGAAAACUAUUUAGGUAGUGCCUCGAGCAAGACACUGAUGGGGGUAAAGCACUGUUAUGGCUAGGGGGUUAUUGCAACUUACCAACCCAUGGCAAACUCAGAAUACCAUCAAGUGGUUCCUCGGGAGACAGACAGCGGGUGCUAACGUCCGUUGUCAAGAGGGAAACAACCCAGACCGCCGGCUAAGGUCCCAAAUGAUAGAUUAAGUGGUAAACGAAGUGGGAAGGCACAGACAGCCAGGAUGUUGGCUUAGAAGCAGCCAUCAUUUAAAGAAAGCGUAAUAGCUCACUGGUCGAGUCGUCCUGCGCGGAAGAUGUAACGGGGCUCAAAUCUAUAACCGAAGCUGCGGAUGCCGGUUUACCGGCAUGGUAGGGGAGCGUUCUGUAGGCUGAUGAAGGUGCAUUGUAAAGUGUGCUGGAGGUAUCAGAAGUGCGAAUGUUGACAUGAGUAGCGAUAAAGCGGGUGAAAAGCCCGCUCGCCGAAAGCCCAAGGUUUCCUACGCAACGUUCAUCGGCGUAGGGUAAGUCGGCCCCUAAGGCGAGGCAGAAAUGCGUAGUCGAUGGGAAACAGGUUAAUAUUCCUGUACUUGAUUCAAAUGCGAUGUGGGGACGGAGAAGGUUAGGUUGGCAAGCUGUUGGAAUAGCUUGUUUAAGCCGGUAGGUGGAAGACUUAGGCAAAUCCGGGUUUUCUUAACACCGAGAAGUGAUGACGAGUGUCUACGGACACGAAGCAACCGAUACCACGCUUCCAGGAAAAGCCACUAAGCUUCAGUUUGAAUCGAACCGUACCGCAAACCGACACAGGUGGGCAGGAUGAGAAUUCUAAGGCGCUUGAGAGAACUCGGGAGAAGGAACUCGGCAAAUUGAUACCGUAACUUCGGGAGAAGGUAUGCCCUCUAAGGUUAAGGACUUGCUCCGUAAGCCCCGGAGGGUCGCAGAGAAUAGGUGGCUGCGACUGUUUAUUAAAAACACAGCACUCUGCCAACACGAAAGUGGACGUAUAGGGUGUGACGCCUGCCCGGUGCCGGAAGGUUAAUUGAAGAUGUGCAAGCAUCGGAUCGAAGCCCCGGUAAACGGCGGCCGUAACUAUAACGGUCCUAAGGUAGCGAAAUUCCUUGUCGGGUAAGUUCCGACCCGCACGAAUGGCGUAACGAUGGCCACACUGUCUCCUCCCGAGACUCAGCGAAGUUGAAGUGGUUGUGAAGAUGCAAUCUACCCGCUGCUAGACGGAAAGACCCCGUGAACCUUUACUGUAGCUUUGCAUUGGACUUUGAAGUCACUUGUGUAGGAUAGGUGGGAGGCUUGGAAGCAGAGACGCCAGUCUCUGUGGAGUCGUCCUUGAAAUACCACCCUGGUGUCUUUGAGGUUCUAACCCAGACCCGUCAUCCGGGUCGGGGACCGUGCAUGGUAGGCAGUUUGACUGGGGCGGUCUCCUCCCAAAGCGUAACGGAGGAGUUCGAAGGUUACCUAGGUCCGGUCGGAAAUCGGACUGAUAGUGCAAUGGCAAAAGGUAGCUUAACUGCGAGACCGACAAGUCGGGCAGGUGCGAAAGCAGGACAUAGUGAUCCGGUGGUUCUGUAUGGAAGGGCCAUCGCUCAACGGAUAAAAGGUACUCCGGGGAUAACAGGCUGAUUCCGCCCAAGAGUUCAUAUCGACGGCGGAGUUUGGCACCUCGAUGUCGGCUCAUCACAUCCUGGGGCUGUAGUCGGUCCCAAGGGUAUGGCUGUUCGCCAUUUAAAGUGGUACGUGAGCUGGGUUUAAAACGUCGUGAGACAGUUUGGUCCCUAUCUGCAGUGGGCGUUGGAAGUUUGACGGGGGCUGCUCCUAGUACGAGAGGACCGGAGUGGACGAACCUCUGGUGUACCGGUUGUAACGCCAGUUGCAUAGCCGGGUAGCUAAGUUCGGAAGAGAUAAGCGCUGAAAGCAUCUAAGCGCGAAACUCGCCUGAAGAUGAGACUUCCCUUGCGGUUUAACCGCACUAAAGGGUCGUUCGAGACCAGGACGUUGAUAGGUGGGGUGUGGAAGCGCGGUAACGCGUGAAGCUAACCCAUACUAAUUGCCCGUGAGGCUUGACUCUAU
rnacentral:rRNA from 9 species